AGCGAAGGCGCCAUGAACUAGACAACUUCACCGACGUCGCAGCGGAGUGUCAGGAGGGACUCAGCGGGAUCGGGAGAGAGGAACACCAAGUCUCAAUUUUUCUUUUCAGCGAUUAACCCAAAGAAACUGCCAAUAUGGGUAACGAAGCCUCAUUGCCAAUGGAGAUGUGCUCCAACUCGUCCUCUGACUACGGCUUCCAAAUGUGUAAGUGUUGUCAUUUUUUUGAACUUGGGA